rnacentral:sRNA from 1 species
UCGCAGAAGUCGAGCAUCGCCUUUCAC